rnacentral:rRNA from 1 species
GACGAACGCUGGCGGCGUGCUUAACACAUGCAAGUCGAACGGAAAGGCCCUGCUUUUGUGGGGUGCUCGAGUGGCGAACGGGUGAGUAACACGUGAGUAACCUGCCCUUGACUUUGGGAUAACUUCAGGAAACUGGGGCUAAUACCGGAUAGGAGCUCCUGCUGCAUGGUGGGGGUUGGAAAGUUUCGGCGGUUGGGGAUGGACUCGCGGCUUAUCAGCUUGUUGGUGGGGUAGUGGCUUACCAAGGCUUUGACGGGUAGCCGGCCUGAGAGGGUGACCGGCCACAUUGGGACUGAGAUACGGCCCAGACUCCUACGGGAGGCAGCAGUGGGGAAUAUUGCACAAUGGGCGGAAGCCUGAUGCGGCAACGCCGCGUGCGGGAUGACGGCCUUCGGGUUGUAAACCGCUUUCGCCUGUGACGAAGCGUGAGUGACCGUAAUGGGUAAAGAAGCACCGGCUAACUACGUG